rnacentral:rRNA from 1 species
UGAGACACGGUCCAAACUCCUACGGGAGGCAGCAGUGAGGAAUAUUGGUCAAUGGGCGGGAGCCUGAACCAGCCAAGUAGCGUGAAGGAUGACGGCCCUACGGGUUGUAAACUUCUUUUAUAAGGGAAUAAAGUUCGCCACGUGUGGUGUUUUGUAUGUACCUUAUGAAUAAGCAUCGGCUAAUUCCGUGCCAGCAGCCGCGGUAAUACGGAAGAUGCGAGCGUUAUCCGGAUUUAUUGGGUUUAAAGGGAGCGUAGGCGGGCUUUUAAGUCAGCGGUCAAAUGCCACGGCUCAACCGUGGCCAGCCGUUGAAACUGCAAGCCUUGAGUCUGCACAGGGCACAUGGAAUUCGUGGUGUAGCGGUGAAAUGCUUAGAUAUCACGAAGAACUCCGAUCGCGAAGGCAUUGUGCCGGGGCAGCACUGACGCUGAGGCUCGAAAGUGCGGGUAUCAAACAGGAUUAGAUACCCUGGUAGUCCGCACGGUAAACGAUGAAUGCUCGCUAUGGGCGAUACAAUGUCCGUGGCCAAGCGAAAGCGUUAAGCAUUCCACCUGGGGAGUACGCCGGCAACGGUGAAACUCAAAGGAAUUGACGGGGGCCCGCACAAGCGGAGGAACAUGUGGUUUAAUUCGAUGAUACGCGAGGAACCUUACCCGGGCUUGAAAGUUAGCGACGAUUCUUGAAAGAGGAUUUCCCUUCGGGGCGCGAAACUAGGUGCUGCAUGGUUGUCGUCAGCUCGUGCCGUGAGGUGUCGGGUUAAGUCCCAUAACGAGCGCAACCCCUACCGUUAGUUGCCAUCAGGUGAAGCUGGGCACUCUGGCGGGACUGCCGGUGUAAGCCGAGAGGAAGGUGGGGAUGACGUCAAAUCAGCACGGCCCUUACGUCCGGGGCUACACACGUGUUACAAUGGGCGGUACAGAAGGCAGCUACCUGGCGACAGGAUGCCAAUCCCUAAAGCCGCUCUCAGUUCGGACUGGAGUCUGCAACCCGACUCCACGAAGCUGGAUUCGCUAGUAAUCGCGCAUCAGCCAUGGCGCGGUGAAUACGUUCCCGGGCCUUGUACACACCGCCCGUCAAGCCAUGGGAGCCGGGGGUGCCUGAAGUUCGUGACCGCAAGGAGCGACCUAGGGCAAAACUGGUGACUGGGGCUAAGUCGUAACAAGGUAGCCGUACCGGAAGGUGCGGCUG